UACGUAGGCAGCGAGCGUUGUUCGGAGUUACUGGGCGUAAAGAGUGCGUAGGCGGUUUUCUAAGUUUGGUGUGAAAUCUCCCGGCUUAACUGGGAGGGUGCGCCGAAGACUGGAAGGCUUGAGUAUGGGAGAGGUAAGCGGAAUUCCCAGUGUAGAGGUGAAAUUCGUAGAUAUUGGGAAGAACACCGGUGGCGAAGGCGGCUCACUGGCUCGUAUCUGACGCUCAGGCGCGAUAGCGUGGGGAGCAAACAGG
rnacentral:rRNA from 1 species